rnacentral:rRNA from 1 species
CCUACGGGAGGCUGCAGUGAGGAAUAUUGGUCAAUGGACGAGAGUCUGAACCAGCCAAGUAGCGUGAAGGAUGACUGCCCUAUGGGUUGUAAACUUCUUUUAUAUGGGAAUAAAAUGUUCCACGUGUGGGAUUUUGUAUGUACCAUAUGAAUAAGGAUCGGCUAACUCCGUGCCAGCAGCCGCGGUAAUACGGAGGAUCCGAGCGUUAUCCGGAUUUAUUGGGUUUAAAGGGAGCGUAGGUGGAUUGUUAAGUCAGUUGUGAAAGUUUGCGGCUCAACCGUAAAAUUGCAGUUGAAACUGGCAGUCGUGAGUACAGUAGAGGUAGGCGGAAUUCGUGGUGUAGCGGUGAAAUGCUUAGAUAGCACGAAGAACUCCGAUUGCGAAGGCAGCUCACUGGACUGCAACUGACACUGAGGCUCGAAAGUGUGGGUAUCAAACAGGAUUAGAUACCCCAGUAGUC